GAUGAACGCUGGCGGCGUGCUUAACACAUGCAAGUCGAACGGUGAACACGGAGCUUGCUCUGUGGGAUCAGUGGCGAACGGGUGAGUAACACGUGAGCAACCUGCCCCUGACUCUGGGAUAAGCGCUGGAAACGGCGUCUAAUACUGGAUAUGUGACGUGACCGCAUGGUCUGCGUUUGGAAAGAUUUUUCGGUUGGGGAUGGGCUCGCGGCCUAUCAGCUUGUUGGUGAGGUAAUGGCUCACCAAGGCGUCGACGGGUAGCCGGCCUGAGAGGGUGACCGGCCACACGGGGACUGAGACACGGCCCAGACUCCUACGGGGGGCAGCAGGGGGGAAUAUUGCAAAAGGGGCGCAAGCCUGAUGCAGCAACCCCGGGUGGGGGAUGACGGCCUUCGGGUUGAAACCCUCUUUUAGCAGGGAAGAAGCGAAAGUGGCGGUACCUGCAGAAAAAGCGCCGGCAAACUACGU
rnacentral:rRNA from 1 species